AAUAGAUACCCUGGUAGUCCACGCCGUAAACGAUGGAUGCUAGCUGUUAGGAGUAUCGACCCUUCUAGUAGCGAAGCUAACGCGUUAAGCAUCCCGCCUGGGGAGUACGGUCGCAAGAUUAAAACUCAAAGGAAUUGACGGGGACCCGCACAAGCGGUGGAGCGUGUUCUUUAAUUCGAUGAUAAGCGAAGAACCUUACCAGGGCUUGACAUCCUUGGAAUUUCUGCGAAAGCAGAGAGUGCCUUUUGGAACCAAGUGACAGGUGUUGCAUGGCCGUCGUCAGCUCGUGUCGUGAGAUGUUUGGUUAAGUCCAUCAACGAGCGCAACCCUUAUGAUUAGUUGAAUUUUUUCAAUUAGACUGCCUCGGUAACGGGGAGGAAGGAGGGGAUGAUGUCAGGUCAUUAUUACCCUUACGUCCUGGGCUAGAAACGCGCUACAAUGGCUGGUACAAAGGGCUGCCAACCCGCGAGGGGGAGCAAAUCCCAUCAAAGCCAGUCCCAGUUCGGAUUGCAGGCUGAAACUCGCCUGCAUGAAGUCGG
rnacentral:rRNA from 1 species